rnacentral:rRNA from 1 species
UACGUAGGGGGCGAGCGUUGUCCGGAUUUAUUGGGCGUAAAAGGCUUGUAGGUGGCCACGUCAAGUCGGAUGUGAAAUCUCCCGGCUCAACUGGGAGGGGUCAUUCGAUACUGGCGGGCUCGAGGCCGGUAGGGGGAAGCGGAAUUCCCGGUGUAGUGGUGGAAUGCGUAGAUAUCGGGAGGAACACCAGUGGCGAAGGCGGCUUCCUGGACCGGUUCUGACGCUGAGGAGCGAAAGCGUGGGGAGCGAUCCGG